CACGUAGGGGGCGAGCGUUGUCCGGAAUCAUUGGGCGUAAAGCGCGUGUAGGCGGCCCGGUAAGUCCGCUGUGAAAGUCCAGGGCUCAACCCUGGGAUGCCGGUGGAUACUGUCGGGCUCGAGUCCGGAAGAGGCGAGUGGAAUUCCUGGUGUAGCGGUGAAAUGCGCAGAUAUCGGGAAGAACACCUAUGGCGAAGGCAGCUCUCUGGGACGGUACUGACGCUGAGACGCGAAAGCGUGGGGAGCGAACAGG
rnacentral:rRNA from 1 species